GUUCCCUUGCUAAUUUGGAAAGCCAUUCCAGCUCUGGCUUGUUUCCAUUUCAACCUCAAGCUGUGAAUAAGGAGGGCUUUUAAGCUGUCAUUUUGUUAAAGACAGCUUUAAAACACAAGAGGAAGAGACAUCAAUUACCAAAGCAAACAAAGCUAUGGAAAUAAAACUCUUUUCCUUGAUAUGUAAUUCAACACCGACAGCAAAUGCUACAAGAUUUUGCCUUUUCAGUUAUUUUGGUUGGUUGUUUUCUGUUUGUUUUGUUUUCUCAGAGUUGAUUCAUAGGUUGUUUUGAGGAGGAGGACUUAAUGACCAGAAAGCUUGUUUUAGCAGGUGAACAUGUUAACAUGUGAGUAUGCAGCACAGGAUUUGAUUUCGGGUAAAUUCAAAACUAAGGUAGUGGGUUAACUGACCAUAAGAUGUAUUAUUACUGGAUUUGUAUUUACAUUUUUCAGUACCUGUGAGAAGCACUUCUGGAGCUUAAAUAAGGUGUAAUUUAGUCCUUUUCUUUCGUGGUAUUUCCUCCAAUCAUAGAACGAAAUCAUAUUAAAGCAGUGUAUUUCAACUCUGAGUAUGACUUCCUGAUGCAUUCAGAAGCCUGGCAGAAAGACAAACAGCAUUUUUAACCAAAACCAUAAAAUCAAAUGAAGUUUUUUUUUAACAGAUUCUGAAGAAUUUUCUCCUGGUAGCUAUAAGUUACAACCUGAAAUGUAACUUUCUCAGAAAUAACAAAUUAAUUAAUAAAUGAUAAAUUGCCAGAACCCCAAGCCUGGUUCAGGGGCUCCAUGUGGUUGAAAAGUCUCUCCUCCAACCCGUGCUUCCAAAGAAAAACUCCGCAGCAUCUUAUUGUUCGGUCUCAAGGCAGCUUAUUGCUAGCUAUCUAAAAGAUUGUCUUCUCUGGCUGCUGCGGUUUGGUCAGCAGCUCAGGCAAAAACACACACACUCCUGACACCCUCUCUGUCUGGUGUCUUCUCUCCCCACCCAGGGCUGCUGCUAUCUUUUAUAUGAUGCGUUACAUGUUUACAGUUUUUCCCCAAUACCUACUACCUAUAUUAAAAGGUGCUUUUCUACUCUAAACCAAUCCAUAAGUGCCAGCAUCAUCAAGAACAUGGAAUUAAGGAAGACAAAAGAGGAGGAACAGGAUCGGCCCACAUUCCUCCAUCUUAGAACUCCUGACCCCCCUGUACAAAGUAAAAACCCCCCUGUGCAGGUGCUAAAACCCCCCUGUACAAUACUAAAAAAUUUCCCCCUCUACUUUGUAACUACUUCUACUAUAAUAUCUAACCUUUUGUGACUGCUUGUUCCACCUUCAAAGUUGGUAACUCAUUCCAUGGCUCAAACUCAAAAUCACAGCUGUUUCCAGCUGCCUGCCAGGGUCUAAAAUGCUUCUGGCCAGGGCCUGAAACCUCCAAAAAUGUCUGAGGGACAUUUUGAGUUCCAACAAUAAAUAAAUAUUAAUAACUAGACUAUCUAAUUAUGGAGUCAGAGAACAGUAAGGUCAGAAGGGACUGUCAUGGGUCUUCUGGUCCAAUCUCCCUACUCAGGCAGGGUUUUCCUAGAGCACAUGGUACAGGAUUGUGUCCAGACAAAUUUUGACUGUCUCUAGUGAGGUAGGCUCCGUAUCCUCUCUGGGCAACCUGUUCCAGUAUAAAGAUCUUCCUCCUAUGCAGGUGGAACCUCCUUUGUGAAAAAGUUUCUGCUUGCUUCUUGUAGGAGACACCACUAGUGACAGGUUCCUGUGCCACCAAUGAUGAACCUCUGGGAUGGGUCACUCUGCCAGUUCUCAGUCCAUUUCACCCUUUGCUCUUCCUGAGCUUGCCUAUGAGGAUAUUGUGGGAGGCGUAGCCAAAAGCCUUGCUGAAGUCCGGGCAGACAAUAUGGACUGCUCUCCCCUUAUUCAUCCAGCUGGUUUUGCCAUUGUAGAAGGCAAGCAGGUUGGCAAGCAGGAUUCACCCUUAGCGAAUGCUGGUUGCUCCUGACUGCAUUCUUGUCUGCCAGCUCUCUCAGCACUCAUGGAUUCAUCCUUUCAGGCUCCAAGGAACUGCAGAUGCCAGGUUUGAUGAGGUGAUCUCUAACCCUAUCCUACUUGACCACGGGAAUGUCUUCCUUCAUCCUCCGGUUUUCCCUGGACCUGAGAUUCCAUGGGGCUGAUCCUGUCAGUGAAGCCUGAUGCAAAGAAGGCAUUCAAUAUCUCUGCCUCCUUAUUCCACAUUCCUUUUUCUUCCAUAAGUGUGCAAAGGCAAGGCCAGUUAUUUCUCCGUGAUAACAGAAACCAUGUGUUCAGCUGGUAUAAACUACUUUUGCUUAAUUAACAAUAGCAGAAGUAUGCUAGAUCAUGCACUGAGAUGAUCUGAGAUCUUCUUGGCCUAUAAUU
ensembl:lncRNA